rnacentral:rRNA from 1 species
UAAGCGGAGGAAAAGAAACCAACAGGGAUUGCCUUAGUAACGGCGAGUGAAGCGGCAAAAGCUCAAAUUUGAAAUCUGGCACCUUCGGUGUCCGAGUUGUAAUUUGAAGAAGGUAACUUUGGGAUUGGCUCUUGUCUAAGUUCCUUGGAACAGGACGUCACAGAGGGUGAGAAUCCCGUGCGAUGAGAUGACCAAUCCUAUGUAAAGUGCUUUCGAAGAGUCGAGUUGUUUGGGAAUGCAGCUCUAAGUGGGUGGUAAAUUCCAUCUAAAGCUAAAUAUUGGCGAGAGACCGAUAGCGAACAAGUACAGUGAUGGAAAGAUGAAAAGAACUUUGAAAAGAGAGUGAAAAAGUACGUGAAAUUGUUGAAAGGGAAGGGCUUGAGAUCAGACUUGGUAUUUUGCAUUCCUUACCUUCGUGGUGGGGUUCCUUGCAGUUUACUGGGCCAGCAUCGGUUUGGAUGGUGGGAUAAUGACAUUGGAAUGUGGCUCUGCUUCGGUAGAGUGUUAUAGCCAGUGUUGAUACCGCCUGUCUAGAC